UACGUAGGGUGCAAGCGUUAAUCGGAAUUACUGGGCGUAAAGCGUACGUAGGCGGCUUGUUAAGCAAGAUGUGAAAUCCCCGGGCUCAACCUGGGAAUGGCAUUUUGAACUGGCAGGCUCGAGUACGGUAGAGGGGGGUGGAAUUCCUGGUGUAGCAGUGAAAUGCGUAGAGAUCAGGAGGAACACCGAUGGCGAAGGCAGCCCCCUGGGCUAAUACUGACACUGAGGUGCGAAAGCGUGGGGAGCAAACAGG
rnacentral:rRNA from 1 species